rnacentral:rRNA from 1 species
UGAUGUCUCCGGAACCAAGAUUUAUCGCCCUAAGAGCAGCGAUCGUCCUAUCAGGUAGUUGGCGGGUAAAGGCCACCAAGCCUAAGACGGGUAGCAGGUGUGAGAGCACGACCUGCGACAUCGGGACUGAGACACUGCCCGGACUCCUACGGGAGGCUGCAGUAACGAAUCUUCCGCAAUGGGCGCAAGCCUGACGGAGCAAUGCCGCGUGUGGGAUGAAGCGGCUACGCCGUGUAAACCACUGUCAGGGACUAGAACCAAUGAUCAGUCCCAAAGGAAGAGCCGGCUAACCCUGUGCCAGCAGCCGCGGUAAUACAGGGGGCUCGAGCGUUAAUCGGAAUCACUGGGCUUAAAGGGUGCGUAGGUGGCUUGCCAAGCGUCCUGUGAAAAUCCCACGGCUCAACCGUGGAACCGCAGGGCGAACUGGUAGGCUUGAGGCAUGUAGGGGCAGACAGAACAGUCGGUGGAGCGGUGAAAUGCGUAGAUAUCGACUGGAAUGCCGAUGGGGA